rnacentral:lncRNA from 1 species
UGAGAAAAACAGCUACUAGCUGGUAUGUUGCAGUUGGGUGGGAAUGAAUGGCAAGCCAGAACUGACAGAUUGUGUGCAUGGGUGUUGUAUAUCACUGGACUCAAGUUGAUAACCAGUGUACAGUGAAACUGAUUAACACUGAGUAGUACCUGGAAGGAAUAAAGAAUAGGUAGCGGCCGGGCACAGUGGCUCAUGCCUGGAAUCCCAGCACAUUGGGAGGGAUCACCUGAGGUCAGGAGUUCAAGACCAACCUGGCCAACAUGGUGAAACCCCGUCUCUACUAAAAAUUAGCCAGGCGUGGUGGCACACACCUGUAUUCCCAGCAACUCGGGAGGCUGAGGCAGAAGAAUCGCUUGAACCCAGGAGGCAGAGGUUGCAGUGAGCCGAGAUCAUACCACUGCACUCCAGCCUCGGUGAGAAAGCAAGACUCUGUAUUCAAAAAAACAAAACAAAAUAAAAAAAGAGUAAGUAGGUAGGUCCAGAGACUAAACAUAGUGAUAUCUUGUGGCAGAAAGAUGAAUACCCAUCACCUGUUUAGAAAGGCUUUUGCCUUAUCCACUUACUUGUAGAGUCAUCAUACAGGAGAUUGAUAGUGAUAGGAGGCAGGUAAAUUUUUAGGCAGACAGGGAUGGGUCCCUGGUGAAACUCAACCUUCGAGCUAAGGAUAGUCUGAAGCCUGAAAACCAAGCUACAAGUUCUGGCUAAAUCCACAAACCAGAUUUAGAGAUCCCAUUCCUGUUUGGCAUGCUCUUUCCUGAUUGGUCUUUAUCCUUCAGCUAUUUUUUUAUAAUAUAUAUUUAUAAUAUAUAAUAUUAUAUAUUAUAUAUAAUUAUAUAUAUUAUAUAUUAUAUAUAAUUAUAUAUAAUAUUAUAUAUUAUAUAUAAUUAUAUAUAAUAUUAUAUAUUAUAUAUAAUUAUAUAUAAUAUAUAUAUAUGAGAUGAUGUAUUGAAUCAUUACCUCCCUUCCCCAAUUGGUCCUCUACACUUUUGUGCCUAUUUCUGAAUGGUGUUUUUCAAGCAUACCCACAGACCAGUCAGCACACACUUCCCCAUUUCAAGCCUAUAGAAACCUCUAGACUCGGCCUCAUCACUAGCAACCCACCUUUGGGUCCCAUCUUGCUGUUGAGAGCUUUUCUUUUGCUCAACAAAUUCUACUCUGCCUUAGUUACUCUCUGGUGUAUAAUGCUUAAAGAUACUAUUAUUAAAUUACACUUAAAACAUCAGGCAUGGUGCCUCACACCUAUAAUCCCAGCACUUUGAGAGAAAAAUACAAAAAUUAGCCAGGCCUGGUGGUGCAUGCCUGUAGUCCCAGAUACUUGGGAAGCUGAGGUGGGAAGAUUGCUUGAACCUGGGAGGUUGAGGCUGCAGUGAGCUGAGAUGGUGACACUGCACUCCAGCUAGAAUCCUUAUUUUUCAGGUGAAGAAACUUGAGACACAGCUCUAUAGUACAGUUGUCUCUCAGUAUACACAGACGAUUGGUUAUUGGUCUUAUAACCAUUACA